UCCCCGGUUGAGUUGCAAAGAGGAUAUGUGCCUCGGGGUAUAGAUGAGAGAGAAUUAGUAUCAGCAAUAGAUGAUGUUCAAACCAUUGCAAAUAGUGGCUUGGAAUUGGCUCGAGCAGGUACAUAUCCCGAAGCACAGAAACAUGCAUCAAUAUAUCAGUCGAUAAUGCAGAGGCUUCACCAAGCCUUACAUCGAACUCAUGAAGACCUUCAUGAUGGACGAGAAGUAGCGCAAUUAGUAUACACACGUCAACAACGACACAGACGAGGACGACGCAGAAACGACAAUGAAGCUGGGCCUUCCCAACGUGUUGACGAUGGAGCUGGACCGUCACAACCACAAACGCAACCGGAUCAUGAACUCAUCGAAGGUCGGGAUAGAGGAGGCCGAAGACAAAGGAGGAGGAGAAGAGUUCUUGGAUGUAUGUAA